rnacentral:rRNA from 1 species
CUGGAAGAAUCUGGAGACAGGUGCUGCAUGGCUGUCGUCAGCUCGUGUCGUGAGAUGUUCGGGUUAAGUACCCGCAACGAGCGCAACCCUUGCCUUUAGUUGCCAGCAGUUCGGCUGGGCACUCUAAAGGGACUGCCGGUGUUAAACCGGAGGAAGGUGGGGAUGACGUCAAGUCCUCAUGGCCUUUAUGACCAGGGCUACACACGUACUACAAUGGCCGAUACAAAGGGCAGCGACACUGCGAGGUGAAGCCAAUCCCGUAAAAAUCGGUCUCAGUCCGGAUUGGAGUCUGCAACUCGACUCCAUGAAGUUGGAAUCGCUAGUAAUCGUGGAUCAGCAUGCCACGGUGAAUACGUUCCCGGGCCUU